GAUGAACGCUGGCGGCGUGCCUAAUACAUGCAAGUCGAGCGAACAGACGAGGAGCUUGCUCCCUUGACGUUAGCGGCGGACGGGUGAGUAACACGUGGGUAACCUACCUAUAAGACUGGGAUAACUUCGGGAAACCGGAGCUAAUACCGGAUAAUAUUUCGAACCGCAUGGUUCGAUAGUGAAAGAUGGCUCUGCUAUCACUUAUAGAUGGACCUGCGCCGUAUUAGCUAGUUGGUAAGGUAACGGCUUACCAAGGCAACGAUACGUAGCCGACCUGAGAGGGUGAUCGGCCACACUGGAACUGAGACACGGUCCAGACUCCUACGGGAGGCAGCAGUAGGGAAUCUUCCGCAAUGGGCGAAAGCCUGACGGAGCAACGCCGCGUGAGUGAUGAAGGUCUUCGGAUCGUAAAACUCUGUUAUUAGGGAAGAACAAACGUGUAAGUAACUGUGCACGUCUUGACGGUACCUAAUCAGAAAGCCACGGCUAACUACGUG
rnacentral:rRNA from 1 species